rnacentral:rRNA from 1 species
UACGUAGGGUCCGAGCGUUGUCCGGAAUUAUUGGGCGUAAAGAGCUCGUAGGCGGUCUGUCGCGUCGGCUGUGAAAACACGGGGCUCAACUCCGUGCCUGCAGUCGAUACGGGCAGACUAGAGUUCGGUAGGGGAGACUGGAAUUCCUGGUGUAGCGGUGAAAUGCGCAGAUAUCAGGAGGAACACCGGUGGCGAAGGCGGGUCUCUGGGCCGAUACUGACGCUGAGAAGCGAAAGCAUGGGGAGCGAACAGG